CCGAGUUAUACAACUCACCAACCCUGUGAACAUACCUAUAACGUUGCCUCGGCGGGAACAGACGGCCCCGUAACACGGGCCGCCCCCGCCAGAGGACCCCCCCUAACUCUGUUUCCAUAAUGUUUCUUCUGAGUAAACAAGCAAAUAAAUUA
rnacentral:misc_RNA from 1 species